AUCGUCCGGAACUCCAGCAGGGAUUUAAUGGGCCUGGGGCACUUGUCCCCUUUGCCCCUUUCCCCCCCAAUCAGUGGGCCUGGGUGUGGCAGCUGGGCCAAGUAAUCUACCAUGUGCGCUCUCUUCCUCAUACAACCAAUGAAAUGGUUGAAUUCAAAGUAGUUGUAGAACCUCUAAUAUCACAAUGAUCUAGGACCCUUGGCAUGGCACAGAUACCUGUCUUCUUGCAGUUCACUGAAUGGAUCAAAUUGGCGGAGAGAACCUCAAAACUGGACGGUAACAGACCACAACUCCCAGGGAUAUCCCAGUAUCACUUACCCCUGGUGAUAGGCUAAUCAGAAAGAGCCCUCGCCAUGCUUGUAGCUGUUUCCAUAGCUUCACACUGACUCAAUGUUCUAGGCUUCAGUGUGACAUGCGGACAGUGACAAUUAUGGAAUUUUAUAGAAACUAACUUCCCAGUCCAGGAGGCUGCAUUUAAGGGGUCAUCAGAGAUGGAUACAAUAAAGAUCAUUGGAAUAUCCAAUUCUGAUACAUGCAAGAGACAUAAACAAUAACAGCAGUUGAGAUCUGAAUUACGACAGUGUCAAUUAGCUGUGUGGGGACUGAUAGCUGAUGGCAAUGGUUGAAGAGAAAGCAAAGCACAGACACUGACCUGCUUGAGCCAUCUGCCUUGCUGAGCAAAGCAGUGCAGGGCUGCCCAGUACUCCCAGUGUGAGCCUCAGUUCCAUCCACAUGCCACCUGUUUCAGAGAUGGAAACGAGCCUACGCCUCGGAUCCCGAGCGCCCCAAAUGCCUGACACAUGGAUCAUAACUCAGUGAACUGGGACGCCGUGUUCUCCAAGAGCAGAGCCGUAGAACCACAGCCAGUACUUCUAUCUCUGGUCCCUUUGAUUGGCUAUGCUGAAACCCAGAGCCCUCUGUGCCUGAAAACUUAGUCUGAAUGCCUAGAGGCUUUUCGAUGAUCAUGAAAAUCCAGGCUGCAGUACAUUGCACUACGCUGCAAAAGUUGAGCUUAACUUGUCCUUAGUUUGCUUUCUUCUGACACUUAAUUACCUAAUAUGCACUGUGGAAAUCUAUGAUGUAAAAUCGUCUGUUUCAGAGUAUAUAAUAUUGUUUUUGAUAAACGUUACAUAUUGCCUGCUUUGAUUCGUUAUUUAUGUUCUUUAAUGGUAAUCAGGAAAAGGAGCAUUUCCUUUCCUCCCUUUCCUGGAGGCAAAUUGCUGCUGGAAUUGCCAAACUUUUGUUUCCCUUUUAGUUACUGUAGUAAUAAUAAUAAUAAUACAGAUUGAACUUCUCUAGUCUGGCACCUGACUGGUCCUGAACCAGAGAAUCUGCUGACCCUGGGAAGUCAAUAUUGCCUAGUAGCAUUACCAACACUUCCGCUGCUGACUGGCUUCUUAGAAGACGUUUAGAGCUAAGUAACAGCACAGAACACUGAGAGUCAGGACUGGUGGCUGGAAACAAUCUUUAUGGGACCCUGGGAGACUUGGCCACACCCAGGAUAAGUGGCCACAGAAUCACAGAACACUAGAACUGGAAGGGACACC